UACAGAGGUCUCAAGCGUUGUUCGGAUUCAUUGGGCGUAAAGGGUGCGUAGGCGGCGCGGUAAGUCGGGUGUGAAAUCUCGGAGCUUAACUCCGAAACUGCAUUCGAUACUGCCGUGCUUGAGGACUGGAGAGGAGACUGGAAUUUACGGUGUAGCGGUGAAAUGCGUAGAUAUCGUAAGGAAGACCAGUGGCGAAGGCGGGUCUCUGGACCACAACUGACGCUGAGGCGCGAAAGCUAGGGGAGCAAACAGG
rnacentral:rRNA from 1 species